rnacentral:rRNA from 1 species
UACGGAGGGGGCUAGCGUUAUUCGGAAUUACUGGGCGUAAAGGGCUCGUAGGCGGCCAACUAAGUCGGACGUGAAAUCCCUCGGCUUAACCGGGGAACUGCGUCUGAUACUGGAUGGCUUGAAUCCGGGAGAGGGACGUGGAAUUCCAGGUGUAGCGGUGAAAUGCGUAGAUAUCUGGAGGAACACCGGUGGCGAAGGCGACGUCCUGGACCGGCAUUGACGCUGAGGCGCGAAAGCCAGGGGAGCAAACGGG